rnacentral:lncRNA from 1 species
CCGCCUCAGGCUCUCCGCUUCGCGUCCAGCCGCCGUGGUGGCGUCUGGGAACUGAAGAUGCAGAAAUGGAGGUUCAGAAAGUCAAAAUGGGGGUCACGUAGCAGAUAGUUGUUGGGAACAGAUGCCUGCAAGAAGCUGUCCUGUUGACCAUCCAAAGUGUCUUCUACGCCCAACUGGAUGGCUUCAGCAAUUUCCACCUCAUCUGCAAUAGCCAUCAAACGGCGACGCAUCCUGGUGAAGCUCAGCUUGUGAAACAUCAGUACUGACAAUAUGAGGAUAAAAUUCAGCAGGAAAUUCCAACAACAGUCUAUCUAUAAGACAAAGGCGGCCAAGAAGUUCUUGCCAAUUGUUUGAUUCAGUUUGGUUUCCAAGAAUACAAUUUAAGACAUAAUCAACACCA